rnacentral:lncRNA from 1 species
AAGAAUAUUCUCUAGCUCGGUAAUUACUCAUUUUAUUCCAAAUUGUAGGUCGUUUUGGCUUUUCUAAGUGCAUAGUUUUUCUAAGUGUAUAGUUUUUCUAGGUAUUGUGUACCAUAAACUUAGAAAUGUCAAAAUGACCUACAAUUUAGAACGGAGAGAGAGUAAUAUCUUUUUUCGUGAUUUGUGCUCACCUGGUGGGUUUGUAUGACAAGCCAAGCCGAGUAAUAUACAUUUCUUAAAUGGGAAACUGAAAUUUGUGGGGCACGUUGAUUGCAUAUAAGAGUAAAGUGUAAGUGCUUAAGUUAAGACAGAGCACCAAACGUUGGAAAAUAUGCAAAUUUAUUAUACAUUUGAGAAUAAAAAUAAUAAACACAUUCAGUUAGCGAUGAGUUGUAGGAUAUCAUUUCGUUCGUAACUAUGUAAAAGUUUAUAUACUUCGUUUGACUUGUACGUAAUUAAAUUCUAUAGUCAGGAUCUUUGCAUAGUCACUACUACACAACAUGUAAAAUCAAAUCCGCAUCCCUCCUUUUGUCAUGUAUCUAAAAUUGGUAGCAGAUUGAGCUUUGAGAUUUCCAUAUUCAGACUCAUAUUGAAAUUCUAGUAUGCUAGUCUAUCAACCCGUGCGGGCUAAUAAUUUUAAGAGUCAUUAUAUUAUUUUUUUAUAAUGGCAUAAGUGAGUAAUUUAGAUGAAGGUUAGGGGUUACUUUAAUUUAUUUUUUUAUAAUGGUAGAGGUGAGUAAUUUAGAAAUAGAUUUAGGGAGUUAUUGUAGACUUAUUUUCAUAAUGGCAAAAGUGGGUACUUUUUUAGAAAUUAUACAUCCAAUGGCUAUGAUGAUUUGUGUCUACGAAGUGAUGGCUAGAUGUUUUGCUUUUUUGAGAGAUUUUUUAGGAUUUCUCUCUGUUUUUAGAGUGUCCACCUAAAAUCCUGGUAGCUUCGUGUGGAGAUUUAAAAGACCUCUAAGAUUAUAUAUGGACCUUUUUCUUCAGUUCAAUAUUGCAUUUUCGCUAAUGCGGUGAUUCUCACUCAAAAGGUGACUUACUGUUGAAAAGACAUCUAUGCCUAAUAUGGGUCAUACCUUGAAAUUUUUAAAUUUCAGGAUAUGAUUAAAAGAAAUAAUUAAACAAUAAUUUUUUAUAUUACAAAAAUUUUCCCAACAUUUACUUUUCUUUCAAGGAAAUUUAGUAUAGGAAAAAUAAUUGUUUAUUUUUCAAAAUUAAAUAAUGUGGUUUUGUGUCUGUGCAUUCAUACCGAUGCAUCUUUGUGUUUUAUGAGUGAAAAAGUUUCAAAAAUGCGUUUAGACGUUGU